UACGUAGGUGGCGAGCGUUAUCCGGAUUUACUGGGCGUAAAGCGCUUGUAGGUGGCUCUGUAAGUUGGGCGUGAAAACACCAGGCUUAACCUGGUGACGCCGUCCAAUACUGCGGGGCUUGAGGAUGUCAGAGGAAGGUGGAAUUCCUGGUGUAGUGGUGAAAUGCGUAGAUAUCAGGAGGAACACCCGUGGCGAAGGCGGCCUUCUGGGGCAUUCCUGACACUGAGAAGCGAAAGCUAGGGGAGCAAACAGG
rnacentral:rRNA from 1 species